UACGUAGGGGGCAAGCGUUGUCCGGAUUUAUUGGGCGUAAAGAGCGUGUAGGCGGCCAGGUAGGUCGGCUGUGAAAACUCGAGGCUCAACCUCGAGAUGUUGGCCGAAACCAUCUGGCUAGAGUCCGGAAGAGGAGAGUGGAAUUCCCGGUGUAGCGGUGAAAUGCGCAGAUAUCGGGAAGAACACCCGUGGCGAAGGCGGCUCUCUGGGACGGUACUGACGCUGAGACGCGAAAGCGUGGGGAGCGAACAGG
rnacentral:rRNA from 1 species